GGUGUAGUCUCCAUUCUGAUGCAUGAGUUCAAACAGCUCUGAGUCCAGGAUCUGGUUUGAAUGGAGAAAGGGCGCUGGACUGAAUAGGGCAGGGCUGUACCCUGCAGCCCCACCCAUUUCUCUGGGAUGUCCUCUUUGGAAUGAUGCCAUUUUCUGGGUGAUUUCAUCAUUGGCCACACUACUCGCCAGAACGCUCACAAGCAUAAGCAUUCAUACACCAACACUCCUCCUCAACUGCUUGGAUCGGCCCAGGCCCAGUCCCACCGCCCUCUCCUCACCAUUGUCCAGGACGACCAGGAGAGGUGCCAGCAGGUC